CAAGAUUCGCCGUCGUUGUUGUCUCAGAGACCUAUGCUGCGUCUUCUUGGUGUCUCGAUGAGCUCGUAACGAUCAUGGAUUUCGAAAAAAAGGGUUCCAUCACCGUGAUGCCCAUCUUCUACGGCGUGGAACCGAAUCAUGUGAGGUGGCAGACCGGAGUACUCGCUGAACAGUUUAAGAAACAUGGGAGUAGAGAAGAUCAUGAGAAAGUGCUUAAAUGGAGGCAAGCAUUGACCAAUUUUGCGCAACUCUCCGGCGAUUGUUCAGGGUGAAAUUUCGUAACUUGAUUUUUUUUUUGAGUUGAAUCAAAAAGAUUGAAUUUUUUAUUGUUUGAUUUGAAUCGAUGCUAAAGUUUGGAUUUUUUUUUUUGUCUCUGUAGUGAUGAUGACUCGAAGCUGGUGGACAAAAUUGCUAACGAGAUAUCAAACAAGAAGACGAUUUAUGCAACAAUAAACAAUGGGAAGAAUCUAGUUGGGAUUGAUACACACAUGAAGGAACUAAACCGAUUAAUGCAUAUGAAUUGCAACAAAGUUACUGUAAGAAUGGUUGGGAUUUGGGCAAGAGGAGGCGAUGGUAGAUCAGCUCUAGCUAAAUAUGUUUAUCAGACAUCUUGUCAACAGUUUGACAGCCAUUGUUUUCUUGGAAACGUGAAAACGAUUUCUCAGGGUCGCCACUCAGCGCAUCUACACGACGAGUUUCUGAGAAAUAUUAAAAGAGAAGACUCUAACAAACAAUGUCUUAAGAAUCAAAAGGUUCUGCUUGUGGCAGACAACGUUACUAAGGUUAAACAGUUAGAAGCUCUUGCAGGGGAUUUCAGCAGUUUUGGUCCUGGGAGUGUUGUUAUUAUCACUACAGACAACAAGGGGUUGUUGAAUUCUUAUGGUAUAACAGAUGUCUACGAAGUUGAGCAUUUGAAGUUUUGUGGAAUCUUACGAUCAUUGGGCUUUAAAAAGAGAGCUGCUGCGUUCCAGCGGGCUUUGUGUAGAGCAAAGAGUUUUGCCACGGAAUGUUUUUGUUGUCAAAGUAGUAGUAUAUCUGGUUAUGGGAAAGUGACAGAUUUAGUUUAAUUAAGUUGAAUCCCUUAUUAGUCAUAUGCAUUAAGUUAAGUAAACUUAAUAAGUUGUGUGGCUUAGAAAUAAUAUUGUUUUGUCUAUUUUUGGAGUGGGUUGCUCUUGGGGUGUAGAAAAAUGUCACUCUUCAUUGGAUUAAGUAAUAUACAUUUUUUUGUUCCUUAGUUUUUAAGACAUUUUUUUACAUCUGGAUGUGCCAGUUGUUUGUAAUAUACUGUUCUUUCCUUAUAGAAAUAAAUAUUACACAAUUUUUUAAAAAAGAUUUAUGUAUUUGGGAGGGUUUUUUGAUGUUUGGACAUGCCCAAUAAAAUUAAAAAUUAAUACAGGAGACACAAAGUCGCUAACUUUCCAAAGUUGGAAUCUACAUAUGUCUAAAACAGAGAAGAAAAGCUUUUAAACUUUUUACAUGACGAUCCUCCAAUAAUAGUAAUACACUACUACAGUUCAAAGCCACUGACAAGUUUCUCGCUUUUUUCCCUUAAUGAGAAACUCUUUUAACCUGCUUUUCUGAUUUAUGCUCUUUGGGUACGUGGAAGAUUUCAAUCACAGACUAACGUAAUUAAAUCAUUUAUUGGAAACUGUGAGUCAAGCUGAAUAAACUUGAUGCAAACGAAUAGAUAUGAAAGAAAUUGGGUUGAUCAACAAAAAAACAAGCCGACAAAAACUGAAUCUCAUGAUAUGUUUUCGUCCGUCAGUUUUAACCGUUCGUUUGAUCGGAUAAUCAAAACCAGUAAAUGCCAAUAAUACACACCAGAAAAGUAAGAUGAUAAUUUUUGUUCGUUAGUAGUAUUUUAUUAUUAUCAUGCUCAUCAUUUUCUUACUUUGGCGGCCCAUCUUUUCUCUUCCCCUCUUUCUGAGUAGUUUAGUAAAACAGAACCUGACAGAAAAAAAUAGAAAAUGCCAGGAAACACACACUUAGCAGGAAGACUAUGGGAGUCUCUAACCAAUGCACAUGCUUUAUUUAGUUCAACUACUCUCUAGUGGUCUAUAAAUAUCGUUGAGUUCUUUAUUUCUAUUACUCAUCAUAGUUCUCAAUAGAGAGAAUCAAAAAUCAAAAUGUCUUCUCCUACUGCGACUAAGUACGACGUCUUUCUGAGUUUCAGAGGACUCGACACUCGUCGCAACUUCAUCAGUUUUCUCUACAAAGAACUCGUUCGAAGAAAAAUUCGAACUUUCAAAGACGACAAGGAGCUCGAGAAUGGCCGGAGGAUUUCUCCGGAGCUCAAACGCGCCAUCGAGGAGUCGAAAUUCGCCGUCGUUGUGGUCUCUGUGAACUACGCUGCGUCUCCUUGGUGUCUCGAUGAGCUUGUGAAGAUUAUGGAUUUCGAAAACAAGGGUUCCAUCACCGUGAUGCCUAUCUUCUACGGCGUGGAUCCUUGUCAUUUGAGGAGGCAGAUCGGAGAUGUCGCUGAACAGUUUAAGAAGCACGAGGCUAGAGAAGAAGAUCAUGAGAAAGUAGCUUCGUGGAGACGAGCAUUGACCAGUUUAGCGAGUAUCUCCGGCGAAUGUUCAUUGAAAUGGUGAAAUUUCGUAGCGUUGGUUAGAAAGAUUGGAUUUUUAUUUGAUAUGUCUCGUUACUAAAGUUUCGAUUUUUAUUUUGUUUUCUCUCUGUAGGGAAGAUGAAGCGAAUCUGGUGGACGAAAUUGCUGACAAGAUAUCAAAAAAUCUGAUGACUGUUACAACAAUAAGCAAUGGGAGGGACCUAGUUGGGAUUGAUACACACAUGAAGGCUCUUAACAAAAAAUUGGAUUUGAAUUCCAACAAAAGUUUGAGAGUGGUUGGGAUUUGGGCAAGAGGAUACAAUGGUAGAUCAGCUUUAGCUAAAUAUGUUUAUCAAGACAUCUGUCAUUGGUUGAAGGUUGGUUGGUUGAAGGUUUAUCAAGAUAUCAAGACAGCUUCCAAACUUUAUGUUUUAACUCGUUGGUUGAAGGUUGCACAUUUGCUUCAUAGAUCACAUCACUCUUUUAAAACUGAGUAGCCAGCCAAUCAAUAACCCGAAUUUCACUGAGAAAUCCCCACAUUUGUUAUGUUUCCAUACUACAAAAUCAUCUAUUGACACCACUAGUUAGCUGUGAUCUUAUAAAGAUGAGUAAGCCAACCAAACCAAUAACCCAAAUUGGAAAAUGUGAGUCAAGCCGAAUAAACUUGAUGUAAUAACCUAUUCGUUCUAACUUGAAAUUGUUAUUAAAAUCAUCCUUAUCAAUUAGCCUUUCUCGUCCGUCAAUUGACUUAGUUCUAACCAUUCGUUUGAUCGAUAAUCAAACAAACAGUUGAAUCUUCUUCAACCAAUUAAAUUAGACUACGAGUAACUAAAUGCCAAUACACGAGAAAACUAGACUAAGAGGAGAAUUUGUGUUCGUUAAUAUGUUAUCCAUACUCAUUAUCUUAUUUUGGCGGCCCAUCUAUUCUCUUCCCUCUUUCUGAGUAGUUUAGUGAAACAGAAGCUGACAAGAAAAAAUAGAAAAUGCCAGGAAACACACAGUUAGCAGUAGGAAGACUCUUAUAGGUCAACUUCUGUAGUGGUAGUGCCUAUAAAUAUCCUUGAGUUUUUUAUUUCUAUCACUCAUUGAGAAUCAAAAAUCAAAAUGUCUUCUCAUACUGCAACUAAGUAUGAUGUUUUCCUAAGUUUCAGAGGGCAUGACACUCGCCACAACUUCAUCAGUUUUCUCUACAAAGAACUGGUUCGAAGGAGCAUUCGAACCUUCAAAGACGACAAAGAGCUGGAGAAUGGCCAGAGGUUUUCGCCGGAGCUCAAAAGCCCCAUCGAGGUGUCAAGAUUCGCCGUCGUUGUUGUCUCAGAGAACUAUGCUGCGU
rnacentral:lncRNA from 1 species